rnacentral:rRNA from 1 species
CACGUAGGGCGCAAGCGUUGUCCGGAAUUAUUGGGCGUAAAGAGCUCGUAGGCGGUCUGUUGCGUCUGCUGUGAAAACCCGGGGCUUAACCCCUGGCUUGCAGUGGAUACGGACAGACUAGAGGUAGGUAGGGGAGAAUGGAAUUCCCGGCGUAGCGGUGAAAUGCGCAGAUAUCGGGAGGAACACCGGUGGCGAAGGCGGUUCUCUGGGCCUUACCUGACGCUGAGGAGCGAAAGCGUGGGGAGCGAACAGG